CCACCGAGGUUAUUAACUAUCAGAGCUACUGAACAACCAGAUGGAAGAGCAAAGAAUGAAGAAGAAUCGCUGUCUGUCAUCCGAUCCAGCAUCUCCUCGAUGAUUUUGGAGGCGGUUGUCAUCUAAAUUUAUCACAUAGGGCCCAACUCGACUUCGUCUUCUUCUAAACGGAACAUAACUUCACCACCUUAAUUUAAAAGACAUGUUCAUUAGAAGCCUCAGGAUUUACUGUUUGUCAUCUAUACCUGGGACACUGCAUGACGUCAAACUGGCACCGAUUGUACCGAUGGAUUGUUUCAUUUCUUCGAUCACGUGGGCAAUUGAAUCGAGUGGGUCACCUCUUUCCGCCAAAGCUCCAGCGGUUUUCAUGAGAAACAGAGAUCCUGCUAAUCCUCGACGACCAACCGCUUUGAAUGGACUAGAAAGAGCGCAAUCGUCGUCACAAAUGAUCAUUUUCACCUACGUUUGAUAGUAUUAAAUAAUACAAGAGCUUUUAUAGAGGAA